rnacentral:rRNA from 1 species
AACGCUAGCUACAGGCUUAACACAUGCAAGUCGAGGGGCAGCGGGAGCUUAGCUUGCUAAGUUUGCCGGCGACCGGCGCACGGGUGAGUAACACGUAUCCAACCUGGCCCAUACUCGGGUAUAGCCUCUCGAAAGGGAGAUUAAUCCCCGAUGUUGUUGGAUUACCGCAUGGUUUUUCAACCAAAGAAUUUCGGUAUGGGAUGGGGAUGCGUUCCAUUAGGUAGUAGGCGGGGUAACGGCCCACCUAGCCGACGAUGGAUAGGGGUUCUGAGAGGAAGGUCCCCCACACUGGAACUGAGACACGGUCCAGACUCCUACGGGAGGCAGCAGUGAGGAAUAUUGGUCAAUGGCCGAGAGGCUGAACCAGCCAAGUAGCGUGAAGGAUGACUGCCCUAUGGGUUGUAAACUUCUUUUAUAUGGGAAUAAAGUGCCUUACGUGUAGGGUUUUGUAUGUACCAUAUGAAUAAGCAUCGGCUAAUUCCGUGCCAGCAGCCGCGGUAAUACGGAAGAUGCGAGCGUUAUCCGGAUUUAUUGGGUUUAAAGGGAGCGUAGGUGGUUUGUUAAGCCAGCUGUGAAAUACUGUAGCUCAACUACAGCCGUGCAGUUGGAACUGGCAGACUUGAGUGCACAAGAGGAAGGUGGAAUUCGUGGUGUAGCGGUGAAAUGUUUAGAUAUCACGAAGAACUCCGAUUGCGAAGGCAGCCUUCUGGGGUGCAACUGACACUGAGGCUCGAAAGUGCGGGUAUCGAACAGGAUUAGAUACCCUGGUAGUCCGCACAGUAAACGAUGGAUACUCGCUGCCGGCGAUAGACAGUCGGUGGCUUAGCGAAAGCGUUAAGUAUCCCACCUGGGGAGUACGCCGGCAACGGUGAAACUCAAAGGAAUUGACGGGGGCCCGCACAAGCGGAGGAACAUGUGGUUUAAUUCGAUGAUACGCGAGGAACCUUACCCGGGCUCGAACGGCAGAUGAAUUGAGUAGAGAUAUUCAAGUCUUCGGACAUCUGUCGAGGUGCUGCAUGGUUGUCGUCAGCUCGUGCUGUGAGGUGUCGGCUUAAGUGC